UCUAGGCUUGUAAGAAUGUUUUGAAUGUUGGCGCAUGCCAAGAGAGGUGCCCUAAUCAAUUUAUAAUUAAUCCUUUUACUCGAACUUUUAUACCCAAUCCGGAAUUUAAACUUGAAGCUCAGCCACUUUGUGUUAGCUCUUGUCCAGAUAUGCUUUUUCAGGUCGAUACCCAAUGUGUUAAAAAUUGUCCUUCUAAUUAUAUGCCUGUUGCUAAUAAUGGAACUAUGAGAUGUGUUUUAUGCAAUGAUACUUGUCCUAAAAAAUGUACUGGUGGUGUAUUUGAUUAUAAUAAUCCUGGAAAACUGACUGGAUGUACUGUCAUUACUACUGACUUGAGGAUUUUAAGUGUACCUGU